rnacentral:rRNA from 1 species
UCAAGUAAUUAAGUGCAUGUGGUGGAUGCCUUGGCAGUCAGAGGCGAUGAAAGACGUGAUAGCCUGCGAAAAGCUCCGGGGAGGCGGCAAAUAUCCUUUGAUCCGGAGAUGUCUGAAUGGGGGAACCCACCUACUUUAAGGUAGGUAUUGCAACAUGAAUACAUAGUGUUGCAAGGCGAACGAGGGGAAGUGAAACAUCUCAGUACCCUUAGGAAAAGAAAUCAAUUGAGAUUCCCUCAGUAGCGGCGAGCGAACGGGGAUCAGCCCAUUAAGUUAUGUGUGUUUUAGUGGAACGCUCUGGGAAGUGCGAACGUAGAGGGUGAUAUUCCCGUACACGAAAGGGCACACAUAAUGAUGACGAGUAGGGCGAGGCACGUGAAACCUUGUCUGAAUAUGGGGGGACCAUCCUCCAAGGCUAAAUACUCCUGACUGACCGAUAGUGAACCAGUACCGUGAGGGAAAGGCGAAAAGAACCCCUGUGAGGGGAGUGAAAUAGAUCCUGAAACCGCAUGCAUACAAGCAGUGGGAGCACCUUCGUGGUGUGACUGCGUACCUUUUGUAUAAUGGGUCAGCGACUUAUAUUCAGUAGCAAGGUUAACCGUAUAGGGGAGCCGUAGAGAAAUCGAGUCUUAAUAGGGCGUUUAGUUGCUGGGUGUAGACCCGAAACCAGGCGAUCUAUCCAUGAGCAGGUUGAAGGUUGGGUAACACUAACUGGAGGACCGAACCCACUGUCGUUGAAAAGCCAGGGGAUGACUUGUGGAUAGGGGUGAAAGGCUAAUCAAGCCUGGUGAUAGCUGGUUCUCCCCGAAAGCUAUUUAGGUAGCGCCUCGGACGAAUACCAUAGGGGGUAGAGCACUGUUUCGGCUAGGGGGUCAUCCCGACUUACCAAACCGAUGCAAACUCCGAAUACCUAUGAGUACUAUCCGGGAGACAGACUGCGGGUGCUAACGUCCGUAGUCAAGAGGAAAACAAUCCAGACCGCCAGCUAAGGCCCCAAAAUCAUAGUUAAGUGGGAAACGAUGUGGGAAGGCAUAGACAGCUAGGAGGUUGGCUUAGAAGCAGCCACCCUUUAAAGAAAGCGUAAUAGCUCACUAGUCGAGUCGGCCUGCGCGGAAGAUGUAACGGGGCUAAAACUAUGUGCCGAAGCUGCGGAUGUAUACUUUGUAUACGUGGUAGGGGAGCGUUCUGUAAGCCGAUGAAGGUGUGUUGAGAAGCAUGCUGGAGGUAUCAGAAGUGCGAAUGCUGACGUGAGUAACGACAAAACGGGUGAAAAACCCGUUCGCCGAAAGACCAAGGGUUCCAGUCCAACGUUAAUCGGGGCUGGGUGAGUCGACCCCUAAGGCGAGGCCGAAAGGCGUAGUCGAUGGGAAAAUGGUUAAUAUUCCAUUACUUCUGUGUAAUGCGAUGAGAGGACGGAGAAGGCUAAAUCAGCCUGGCGUUGGUUGUCCAGGUGAAAGGAUGUAGGCAUGUAUCUUAGGCAAAUCCGGGGUACUCUAUGCUGAGAUCUGAUAGCAAGCUGUACUUGUACAGCGAAGUGGUUGAUGCCAUGCUUCCAGGAAAAGUCUCUAAGCUUCAGUUACACAGGAAUCGUACCCGAAACCGACACAGGUGGUCAGGUCGAGUAGACCAAGGCGCUUGAGAGAACUCUGCUGAAGGAACUAGGCAAAAUGGUACCGUAACUUCGGGAGAAGGUACGCUGUUGUUGGUGAUGGAACUCGCUUCCUGAGCUGACGACAGCCGCAGAAACCAGGCCGCUGCAACUGUUUAUUAAAAACAUAGCACUCUGCAAACACGAAAGUGGACGUAUAGGGUGUGAUGCCUGCCCGGUGCUGGAAGGUUAAUUGAUGGGGUUAGCGUAAGCGAAGCUCUUGAUCGAAGCCCCAGUAAACGGCGGCCGUAACUAUAACGGUCCUAAGGUAGCGAAAUUCCUUGUCGGGUAAGUUCCGACCUGCACGAAUGGCAUAAUGAUGGCGGCGCUGUCUCCAGCAGAGGCUCAGUGAAAUCGAAAUCGCUGUGAAGAUGCAGUGUACCCGCGGCUAGACGGAAAGACCCCGUGAACCUUUACUGCAGCUUGACACUGAACUUUGACCUUACUUGUGUAGGAUAGGUGGGAGGCUUUGAAGCUGGAACGCUAGUUCCAGUGGAGCCGUCCUUGAAAUACCACCCUGGUAAUGUUGAGGUUCUAACUCUGUCCCGUGAUCCGGGACGAGGACCGUGUCUGGUGGGUAGUUUGACUGGGGCGGUCUCCUCCUAAAGAGUAACGGAGGAGUACGAAGGUGCGCUCAGCGUGGUCGGAAAUCACGCGUAGAGUAUAAAGGCAAAAGCGCGCUUAACUGCGAGACCCACAAGUCGAGCAGGUACGAAAGUAGGUCUUAGUGAUCCGGUGGUUCUGUAUGGAAGGGCCAUCGCUCAACGGAUAAAAGGUACUCUGGGGAUAACAGGCUGAUACCGCCCAAGAGUUCAUAUCGACGGCGGUGUUUGGCACCUCGAUGUCGGCUCAUCUCAUCCUGGGGCUGAAGCAGGUCCCAAGGGUAUGGCUGUUCGCCAUUUAAAGAGGUACGCGAGCUGGGUUUAGAACGUCGUGAGACAGUUCGGUCCCUAUCUACCGUGGGCGCUGGAAAUUUGAGAGGAUCUGCUCCUAGUACGAGAGGACCAGAGUGGACGAACCUCUGGUGUACCGGUUGUGACGCCAGUCGCAUCGCCGGGUAGCUAUGUUCGGAAGGGAUAACCGCUGAAAGCAUCUAAGCGGGAAGCCUACCUCAAGAUAAGAUUUCCCUAGGACUUUAUGUCCUCUAAAGAGCCGUUCGAGACUAGGACGUUGAUAGGUUGGAUGUGGAAGCAUAGUGAUAUGUGAAGCUGACCAAUACUAAUUGCUCGUGAGGCUUGACUAU